rnacentral:rRNA from 1 species
GUCAGCUCGUGUCGUGAGAUGUUGGGUUAAGUCCCGCAACGAGCGCAACCCCUAUUGUUAGUUGCCAUCAUUCAGUUGGGCACUCUAGCGAGACUGCCGGUAAUAAACCGGAGGAAGGUGGGGAUGACGUCAAAUCAUCAUGCCCCUUAUGACCUGGGCUACACACGUGCUACAAUGGUUGGUACAACGAGUUGCGAGUCGGUGACGGCGAGCUAAUCUCUUAAAGCCAAUCUCAGUUCGGAUUGUAGGCUGCAACUCGCCUACAUGAAGUCGGAAUCGCUAGUAAUCGCGGAUCAGCACGCCGCGGUGAAUACGUUCCCGGGCCCU